AGAGUUUGAUCAUGGCUCAGAUUGAACGCUGGCGGCAGGCUUAACACAUGCAAGUCGAGCGGAAACGAUGGUAGCUUGCUACCAGGCGUCGAGCGGCGGACGGGUGAGUAAUACUUAGGAAUCUACCUAGUAGUGGGGGAUAGCACGGGGAAACUCGUAUUAAUACCGCAUACGACCUACGGGAGAAAGGGGGCAGUUUACUGCUCUCGCUAUUAGAUGAGCCUAAGUCGGAUUAGCUAGAUGGUGGGGUAAAGGCCUACCAUGGCGACGAUCUGUAGCUGGUCUGAGAGGAUGAUCAGCCACACCGGGACUGAGACACGGCCCGGACUCCUACGGGAGGCAGCAGUGGGGAAUAUUGGACAAUGGGGGAAACCCUGAUCCAGCCAUGCCGCGUGUGUGAAGAAGGCCUUUUGGUUGUAAAGCACUUUAAGCAGUGAAGAAGACUCUUCGGUUAAUACCCGGAGACGAUGACAUUAGCUGCAGAAUAAGCACCGGCUAACUCUGUGCCAGCAGCCGCGGUAAUACAGA
rnacentral:rRNA from 1 species